rnacentral:rRNA from 1 species
AGCAGCCGCGGUAAUUCCAGCUCCAAUAGCGUAUAUUAAAGUUGCUGCAGUUAAAAAGCUCGUAGUUGAAUUUCGGGACUAAUAUGUCGGUCGUGCCUCGGUACGUACUGGUUUAUUGGUUUCUCCUUUCUGAAGAACCAUGAUGUCAUUUAUUUGGUGUCGUGGGGAAUCAGGACUGUUACUUUGAAAAAAUUGGAGUGUUUAAAGCAGGCUCACGCUUGAAUACAUCAGCAUGGAAUAAUGAAAUAGGACGUUUGAUUCUAUUUUGUUGGUUUCUAGGAUCGACGUAAUGAUUAAUAGGGAUAGUUGGGGGCAUUAGUAUUCAAUUGUCAGAGGUGAAAUUCUUGGAUUUAUUGAAGACUAACUACUGCGAAAGCAUUUGCCAAGGAUGUUUUCAUUAAUCAAGAACGAAAGUUAGGGGAUCGAAGACGAUCAGAUACCGUCGUAGUCUUAACCAUAAACUAUGCUGACUAGGAAUCAGAUGAUGUUAAUUUUUUAAUGACUCGUUUGGCACCUUACG